rnacentral:misc_RNA from 1 species
UUUUUUCAGCAUCAAAACUAGAAUUUAUUAAUAUAAGGAAGAAAAGAAAAACAAAUUGAGGUUUUUCCGCCCUUUAUCAAUUUUUGUUCUCAAUUUCAUACACAUCAAUUCAUUAUAGAAGCUCUAAAUAAAACAACUGAUAAAAAUGAACCAUAUAUUAAAAACUUGGAUGGCUCUCUUUGCUCAUCCUUGCUGUCUAUUUUAGCAAUUUUAGCAUAAAGA